rnacentral:rRNA from 1 species
AAAUUGAAGAGUUUGAUCAUGGCUCAGAUUGAACGCUGGCGGCAGGCCUAACACAUGCAAGUCGAACGGUAACAGGAAGCAGCUUGCUGCUUCGCUGACGAGUGGCGGACGGGUGAGUAAUGUCUGGGAAACUGCCUGAUGGAGGGGGAUAACUACUGGAAACGGUAGCUAAUACCGCAUAAUGUCGCAAGACCAAAGAGGGGGACCUUCGGGCCUCUUGCCAUCGGAUGUGCCCAGAUGGGAUUAGCUUGUUGGUGGGGUAACGGCUCACCAAGGCGACGAUCCCUAGCUGGUCUGAGAGGAUGACCAGCCACACUGGAACUGAGACACGGUCCAGAC